rnacentral:lncRNA from 1 species
UGAACCGAGCAAACCUGGUUAUACCUCAAGUGUAGCAGCAGCAACAACUUUUAGAUGUUUCUAAGGUUAAUCUAAAGAUGUCACCGCCAUUAAGGUUCAGGCAACUUUUUGGUGUUUCUUGGCACGAAGAAAGUUGCGAGCUUUCAAAGGGCACGUGAGGUUAAGAGUGUUGGUUCAAAGCUACGCAGUUAUAGAGCUCCAAAAUCAAAUACCGGUCGCGGUCCACUAUUCAACUUGGGAUGUUUUAUU